rnacentral:rRNA from 1 species
GACAAGUCUCCGUUGGGAACCAGCGGAGGGAUCAUUA